rnacentral:pre_miRNA from 1 species
AUAACAACAUUCGGACCGUCGGUCUACCGAGCAAUGUCACCCGCUCGGUGGAAGAUCUUCCCUUUGUCGUAUAUC